rnacentral:rRNA from 2 species
UAGGGAAUAUUGGACAAUGGGGGCAACCCUGAUCCAGCUAUGCCGCGUGUGUGAAGAAGGCUCUAGGGUUGUAAAGCACUUUAGGUAAGGACGAAAAGAAUAUAGUUAAUACCUAUAUUCCGUGACUUAACUUACAGAAUAAGGACCGGCUAACUCCGUGCCAGCAGCCGCGGUAAUACGGAGGGUCCAAGCGUUAAUCGGAAUUACUGGGCGUAAAGCGCGCGUAGGCGGUUUGUCAAGUUGGAUGUGAAAUCCCUGGGCUCAACCUAGGAACUGCAUUCAAAACUUAUAGACUAGAGUACGAUAGAGGAGAGUAGAAUUCCUGGUGUAGCGGUGAAAUGCGUAGAUAUCAGGAGGAAUACCAAUGGCGAAGGCAACUCUCUGGAUCGACACUGACGCUGAGGUGCGAAAGCGUGGGUAGCAAACAGG